CCUACGGGAGACAGCAGUAGGGAAUCUUCCACAAUGGACGAAAGUCUGAUGGAGCAACGCCGCGUGAGUGAAGAAGGGUUUCGGCUCGUAAAGCUCUGUUGGUAGUGAAGAAAGAUAGGGGUAGUAACUGGCCUUUAUUUGACGGUAAUUACUUAGACAGUCCCGGCUAACUACGUGCCAGCAGCCGCGGUAAUACGUAGGUGGCAAGCGUUGUCCGGAUUUAUUGGGCGUAAAGCGAGUGCAGGCGGUUCAAUAAGUCUGAUGUGAAAGCCUUCGGCUCAACCGGAGAAUUGCAUCAGAAACUGUUGAACUGGAGUGCAGAAGAGGAGAGCGGAAUUCCAUGUGUAGCGGUGGAAUGCGUAGAUAUAUGGAAGAACACCAGUAGCGAAGGCGGCUCUCUGGUCUGCAACUGACGCUGAGGCUCGAAAGCAUGGGUAGCGAACAGGAUUAGAUACCCGAGUAGUC
rnacentral:rRNA from 1 species